UAAGCUUUUGGAAACUUUGUUUUCCACUAAUGUUCUCUCCAAGUUAAAUUUUCGUCUAGGAGAACUCCAAGAAAUUUCAUUGAAUAUUCUCUUCUUAUGUUUACAUGAUCAAUAACUAAUCCAAGCUAAGAGAAUCUCAUGGUUGACUGUAUCGAAUGCCUUACUGAGAUCAAUAAAGACCCCAAUUGUAAAUUUAUUCUCAUCAAAGGCUUGAAAUAUUUCCUGACUCAACUGAAUGAUCGCGUGAUCAGUUGAAUGACCUGCUUGAAAUCCAAAUUGCUUAUUAUACAAAAUAUCGUUAUUGUUCAAGAAAGAAUAAACUCUGUUGUACAUGAUUCUCUCUAAAAUCUUCGAGAAGCAAGGGAGUAUUGAAAUUGGUCUGUAGUUAGAUACUUUACAAACUUCUCCUGCUUUAAAGACUGGGACAACUCUAGCUAUUUUUAACUUUUUAGGAACAAUGCCUGUAAUUAGAGAUGAAUUAAAUAUAUGCAGUAGUGGAGAUUUUA